AAAAAGAUAAGCUAAAAAAGCUUUUAGGUUCAUACCCUAACUAUAAAGACAAAUCUUUUCUUUUUA
rnacentral:tRNA from 1 species